AGCGGUCCUCGGUAGUGGCGGCCGGGCCCCCAGAAAGUGGGGCACAGUCCGGCCGCUUCGAUCGAUGGCCGUA
rfam:Mycobacterium fragae strain DSM 45731 contig_23, whole genome shotgun sequence.